AUUGAACGCUGGCGGCAGGCCUAACACAUGCAAGUCGAGCGGAUGAAGGGAGCUUGCUCCUGGAUUCAGCGGCGGACGGGUGAGUAAUGCCUAGGAAUCUGCCUGGUAGUGGGGGAUAACGUCCGGAAACGGGCGCUAAUACCGCAUACGUCCUGAGGGAGAAAGGGGGGGAUCUUCGAACCUCACGCUAUCAGAUAAGCCUAGGUCGGAUUAGCUAGUUGGUGGGGUAAAGGCCUACUAAGGCGACGAUCCGUAACUGGUCUGAGAGGAUGAUCAGUCACACUGGAACUGAGACACGGUCCAGACUCCUACGGGAGGCAGCAGUGGGGAAUAUUGGACAAUGGGCGAAAGCCUGAUCCAGCCAUGCCGCGUGUGUGAAGAAGGUCUUCGGAUUGUAAAGCACUUUAAGUUGGGAGGAAGGGCAGUAAGUUAAUACCUUGCUGUUUUGACGUUACCAACAGAAUAAGCACCGGCUAACUUCGUG
rnacentral:rRNA from 1 species